GGGCUAGUAAUGGUUUCGACGGGGUACGUGAAGUUGGAGAAGCGAGCCGCAUGCAAUGCGUUAAAUGGCACAAUUAAAAUUAAACGCUGAAGAUAAUAAUUUAGCAUUCGCUGCCUAGUUUGCAGCAGUCUGACCUAGUGCACCUACACAUUAGGACCCAGGCUUCGAAUAUGUAGGAAACGACAUAGGCUAAGCUUUGCACCUAUGGGCGUAUUAUGAAGCUACUGAAGUUGUUAGGGUGUUAGUUCUCGAACAAUGGAGGGAAUUCUAAAUGACUGACUACACUCGUAGAAGUACAAUGAAUCUUAUUUCGGACAUGGGUUCGACUCCCAUCUAGUCCACUU
rnacentral:tmRNA from 1 species